UUCCUCUCCAAACAAAUAGAGUCCGUAGAGACGAAGGAUGGUCCAGACUUGGAGUUCGCACUAGCAAAACAUAUCUAUCCCUCUAGCAGCACCAAAGAUAUUCUUUCCAAAAUUUACUCCGCAACUAAACACUAUCUCAGUCUCUCCUCCAACCAUUUCCAUUGCAUCUAGCCACAGUCUCCAUAGCCAUUAAUGGCAAUGGUGACUACUCCCAUCACAACCACUACUGUAAUCAAUUGGAGGGAGGGAGGGAAGGAGGAGGAAAAGAGAUAUUAACUUAAGGAUUUAAAAUAAAGUUAAACGAAUGCCCUUUUGUUUUAAAGGGCAUAAUGGUUAAGUUAUAGAAAAGAAAACUCUACACUAGAAGCAUAAAGCAUUGGUAAUAUUUUUUUCUCCAUGAAUUAAAUAUCAACCAAGCUAAUCCUAAGAAUAAAACUGAAUUCACAUGAAAGUUAUUUAAAAGACAUAUAUGACUUUCCAAUGAGGUGUGUUUGAUACUUUCAAAA
rnacentral:lncRNA from 1 species